AUAUUAUGUUAUUAUGCUAUAAAACUGAAGCCAAACACAGUCAUCUGCCAGAGACGACGUGUUAAAGAGGAUAAAAAGCUACCAACUGAAAGAAGAGCAGACAACAGCAGGAGAAGAUGAUCUGCAGGAUCCUGUUGCUCAUCAUCCUCACCUCAUGUGUCUCUGGAUCAUUUGUAGUCAAUGUGACACAGACCUCCUAUCAGGCAGAGGAGAACCACAACAUCACACUGGAGUGGACGUUCACCACCAAACCUGACA